GCUGAUUUACAAGAGUCAAAUUAAUUUUUGUAUUUAGCCUACAAACCAAUGACUUAGAUUACCGGUGACUUAGAUUCCAAUUACCUAGAUUUCCAUAACCUAGAAUCCGAUUACCUAAAUUAUCAAUGACGUAGAAUUCCUAUGGGGUAGAUUACCGAUUACCUAGAAUCCCGAUUACUUAGAAUCCGAUUGCCUAGAAAUCCGAUUGCCUAUAAUUCUGAUAACUUACAAUCCCUAUCGCAUAGAUUUCUUAUACCGUGACAAAAAAAAGUUAAAUUGAAUAGAUGGCGCCAUAUGUAACAAAACUUUCAUCUCAUUUUAAAAUUCAAGAUUGUUUUUAUUAAGCGACAGUAUAAUCAGAUAUGUUCAACUUAUAUUUAUUAUGGAGUAGAGUAAUGUGUUAUGGAGUCCCAUGGCGCAUCGCGCGGCUGGAACAUUGUUCAUCUCUGCCAAAACUUGACAAGUAACUCAUCAAUCGUGCCUUCAACCUUUCAAUUAGUGUUAUUACUAUUAAUUACGAAAAAGUGAUAGUUUUUUGGUGAAAAUCAAUUGUUAAAAAAAUUAUGUCGCCAGUGAAAAGUGAAAUUAAUUGUUGUGUUAUUGAAAAACGACAUCACCCAAAAAGAAGAAUAACAAGAAGAUAAAACUAGUGAAUUUAUUAUUUAGAAAUAUUAAAUUCAUUGCCAGAGUUUGGAUAAACAUUAAAUAUUUAUGUUUUAACUUAAAUUAUAAAAAUUUGGACUGGAAGUUUGUUUAAAAUUGAAGCCGAAGUAACUUUUAGCAAAGAAGACUAUUAUUUUGACUAUUGUAAGUGAUGUACUACUUAUUGGAGCAACGAGCCAUUUGUUUUGGGACAUUGAAGUAAUAAAUGACAGCCAUGCAAUAUCUUAUGCUUGCCAGGAAGUUGGAUCCAACCAUGUAAAAUCUGUAGCUAAAAAUGGAAUUUCAGUGGCUGAUUUAAAAAAAUUCAAUCACGAAGGGUGCCAUUGAAUUUUUAUUAACCAAAUUUGUAAAUAUGAAAGGUCGGGGUUCAAAAUAUGGAUCAGACUAUUUAUCAGUUUGUUUUGAAUUUUUAACAAAAAAAAAAAAAUUACCAUGGG